ACACGUAGGGGGCAAACGUUGUCCGGAAUUACUGGGCGUAAAGCGCGCGUAGGCGGUCAAUUAAGUCAGGUGUGAAAGGCCCGGGCUUAACCCGGGUAUUGCACUUGAAACUGAUUGACUUGAGGACAGGCGAGGGAAGUGGAAUUCCUAGUGUAGCGGUGAAAUGCGUAGAUAUUAGGAAGAACACCAGUGGCGAAGGCGACUUCCUGGACUGUAACUGACGCUGAGGUGCGAAAGCGUGGGUAGCGAACAGGAUUAGAUACCCUGGUAGUCCACGCUGUAAACGAUGGAUACUAGGUGUAGGAGGUUUCAAUACCAUCUGUGCCGUAGUUAACGCAAUAAGUAUCCCGCCUGGGGAGUACGACCGCAAGGUUGAA
rnacentral:rRNA from 1 species